GAGUUUGAUCGUGGCUCAGGAUGAACGCUGGCGGCGUGCUUAACACAUGCAAGUCGAACGAAGCGCCUUAUUUGAUUUUCUUCGGAACUGAAGAUUUGGUGACUGAGUGGCGGACGGGUGAGUAACGCGUGGGUAACCUGCCCUGUACAGGGGGAUAACAAUCAGAAAUGACUGCUAAUACCGCAUAAGACCACAGCACCGCAUGGUGCAGGGGUAAAAACUCCGGUGGUACAGGAUGGACCCGCGUCUGAUUAGCUGGUUGGUGAGGUAACGGCUCACCAAGGCGACGAUCAGUAGCCGGCUUGAGAGAGUGAACGGCCACAUUGGGACUGAGACACGGCCCAAACUCCUACGGGAGGCAGCAGUGGGGAAUAUUGCACAAUGGGGGAAACCCUGAUGCAGCAACGCCGCGUGAGUGAAGAAGUAUUUCGGUAUGUAAAGCUCUAUCAGCAGGGAAGAAAGUGACGGUACCUGACUAAGAAGCCCCGGCUAACUACGUGCCACAGCAGCCGCCGU
rnacentral:rRNA from 1 species